GGUUUUAUAGUCAAUUAUGAUCUUAAAUUGCAAAUUUGAAGGUGAAGUUAAACUUCUAAAACCU
rnacentral:tRNA from 1 species